rnacentral:rRNA from 1 species
CCUANGGGCGGCAGCAGUUGGGGAUAUUGCACAAUGGAGGAAACUCUGAUGCAGCGACGCCGCGUGAGGGAAGAAGGUUUUCGGAUUGUAAACCUCUGUCUUCGGGGACGAUAAUGACGGUACCCGAGGAGGAAGCCACGGCUAACUACGUGCCAGCAGCCGCGGUAAUACGUAGGUGGCGAGCGUUGUCCGGAAUUACUGGGUGUAAAGGGAGCGUAGGCGGUUUGGUAAGUUGAGUGUGAAAUCUACCGGCUUAACUGGUAGGCUGCGCUCAAAACUACCGAACUUGAGUGAAGUAGAGGCAGGCGGAAUUCCCGGUGUAGCGGUGGAAUGCGUAGAUAUCGGGAGGAACACCAGUGGCGAAGGCGGCCUGCUGGGCUUUUACUGACGCUGAGGCUCGAAAGCAUGGGGAGCAAACAGGAUUAGAUACCCUANUANUC